AACGCACACUGCGCCCGCCAGCACUCUGGCGGGCAUGCCUGUCCGAGCGUCAUUUCAGCCCUCGAGCCCCCCCCGGGGGCCCGGUGUUGGGGGUCGGCCCAGGCCGCCCCCGAAACGCAGUGGCGACCUCGCCGCGGCCUCCCCUGCGCAGUAGCAGCACGCCUCGCACCGGAGCGCGGAGACGGUCACGCCGUGAAACGCCCCAACCUCCCAGGAAGUUGACCUCGGAUCAGGUAGGAGUACCCGCUGAACUUAA
rnacentral:misc_RNA from 1 species